UACAGAGGUCCCAAGCGUUGUUCGGAUUCAUUGGGCGUAAAGGGUGCGUAGGUGGCGUCGUAAGUCGGGUGUGAAAUCUCGGGGCUUAACUCCGAAACUGCAUUCGAUACUGCGGUGCUUGAGGACUGGAGAGGAGACUGGAAUUUACGGUGUAGCAGUGAAAUGCGUAGAGAUCGGGAGGAACACCAGUGGCGAAGGCGGUUACCUGGAGCUUUGCUGACGCUGAUGCGCGAAAGCGUGGGGAGCGAUCCGG
rnacentral:rRNA from 1 species